GGGGGGGGGGGGGGGGGGGGGGGGGGGGGGGGGGGCGGGGGGGGGGGCGGGGGGCUUGCUUCUCUGGUGGUCGCGGCGGGCGGGUGGGUGACACGUGGAUAACCUACCUCUCAUACUGGUGUCACUUCGGGUCCCCGCCUCCCAUCCCGGCUCAUAUUUUGCACCGCCUGGUUCCAACGUGUCCUACGGUCUUUCUGUCCCUUCUCUCUGUCUCCUCUCUGCAUUAGCUAGUUGCUAAGGUAACGGCUUACCAAGGCAACGAUGCAUAGCCUACCUGAGCGGGGGAUCGGCCACACUGGAACUGAGACACGGUCCAGACUCCUACGGGAGGCAGCAGUAGGGAAGCGUCCGCAAUGGGCGAAAGCCUGACGGAGCAAAGCCGCGUGAGUGAUGAAGGUCUUCGGAUCGUAAAACUCUGUUAUUAGGGAAGAACAUAUGUGUAAGUAACUGUGCACAGCUUGACGGUACCUAAUCAGAAAGCCACGGCUAGCUACGUG
rnacentral:rRNA from 1 species